AUUGAACGCUGGCAGCAGGCCUAACACAUGCAAGUCGAACGGUAACAGGAAGCAGCUUGCUGCUUUGCUGACGAGUGGCGGACGGGUGAGUAAUGUCUGGGAAACUGCCCGAUGGAGGGGGAUAACUACUGGAAACGGUAGCUAAUACCGCAUAACGUCGCAAGACCAAAGAGGGGGACCUUAGGGCCUCUUGCCAUCGGAUGUGCCCAGAUGGGAUUAGCUAGUAGGUGGGGUAACGGCUCACCUAGGCGACGAUCCCUAGCUGGUCUGAGAGGAUGACCAGCCACACUGGAACUGAGACACGGUCCAGACUCCUACGGGAGGCAGCAGUGGGGAAUAUUGCACAAUGGGCGCAAGCCUGAUGCAGCCAUGCCGCGUGUAUGAAGAAGGCCUUCGGGUUGUAAAGUACUUUCAGCGGGGAGGAAGGGAGUAAAGUUAAUACCUUUGCUCAUUGACGUUACCCGCAGAAGAAGCACCGGCUAACUCCGUG
rnacentral:rRNA from 1 species